UCACUUUCAACAACGGAUCUCUUGGCUCUCGCAUCGAUGAAGAACGUAGCGAAGUGCGAUAAGUAGUGUGAAUUGCAGAAUUCCGUGAAUCAUCGAAUCUUUGAACGCAAAUUGCACUCUCUUCGGAGAGUAUGCCUGUUUGAGG
rnacentral:rRNA from 1 species